UUCCUACGGGGGGCAGCAGUGGGGAAUAUUGGACAAUGGGGGGAACCCUGAUCCAGCGACGCCGCGUGAGUGAAGAAGUAUUUCGGUAUGUAAAGCUCUAUCAGCAGGGAAGAAAGAAAUGACGGUACCUGACUAAGAAGCCCCGGCUAACUACGUGCCAGCAGCCGCGGUAAUACGUAGGGGGCAAGCGUUAUCCGGAUUUACUGGGUGUAAAGGGAGCGUAGACGGCGAUGCAAGUCUGAAGUGAAAGGCGGGGGCCCAACUCCGGGACUGCUUUUGAAACUGUUGAACUAGAUUGCAGGGGG
rnacentral:rRNA from 1 species